CGUGGUGGAAACUUUAUAAUGUUACCGUACACAUUACAGUGUACCUGCCGAGGAGACGGUGGGCAGAUGUGGGAAACACUGCAUUAGCUUGGUGGCUGACACAAGCAACAUAUCAGUAAGCUAAAUCACAAUUGAUGUAUCAUAGCAAUAAAUAAGGUCUGUGCUGGAUUACUGUUUGCUUGUACCCCAAAAGCUAUAACGUGGUUCCCUAGGAAGAGCGCACAGUUGACACUUGACCCACAAAGAGUUGAGAGUUUGACUCAGCCAGUGUCUUAGAACUUUUAUCCCUUGCUCUCCACAACUUUGCUGCUGCAAGACGAAGCAGCACUUUCUUAUGAGUUUAGGACUCCACUGAGGGUUGAAAAGGAAGUGGGCGUGGAAAAGUGGGGGAGGCACAUGUAUUUCUACUAGUGCAAAAAACACCGUAGCAGGGAAGGAUAAUUACUUUAUUGUCGCCUCAAACAAAAAACCUGCAUCGGCAGAAAGACAAGUGUGUAAUCGCGUUAUUCGUUUAUGACUACAUAAACAAAUAACAUGAUCCGUUUUUGGUUUUCUUUCACUUUUUUCCUCAUAAAUAUCCAUGGCGUCAGUUUAUUGACGCUCAAUGGGUGUUUCACUCGGUGCCCACACAGUUUCAUCAUAGUGGACGCCUUGCCACCGACGGACGGCUAGAACCUCGCCAUCCUCCCUCCCACCGCUUUCGGGACCAGAAUGGUGAAGAGCGAUGUAAAGCCGUUCCGCCGAAUUCAACAACCGUAGAAACAGAGGAAAGGACACAACAUUAUCGAGACCAAUCUCAUGGGCCCUGACGAACCGGUGAACGGGAUAAGUUUGAUGAAUUUAACCACGGGUCGAACCAAUGAUGGAAGUCUUCAACAGCAGAUGAAACAGGACAUGAAACAGUACAUUUGUUACGAAUGAGAUCAAUCUUAUUUUAGAUUUCUGUUGCCUACUGUAAAACCGAAGAGAUCAGUCUGAGUCAAUUGCGAAUCCGAUAAAGUUGGAUGGAAGGAAGCCAAUGAGUUGGAUGACACCUAGGAUAAUCCCUCAAUCCAGAAAUCUAUGAACAAGAUAUGCAUUGAAGUAGAAACAUUUAUUUCCCUGUGAUAUCAUAGAUGUUUUUCCACUUUGAUUUUGCUAGCGUUUCUGGGCGAUGUGAUGUUUAUAAUGAAAAACCAGUUCAAAUAG